CCUACGGGAGGCAGCAGUGGGGAAUAUUGCACAAUGGGCGCAAGCCUGAUGCAGCCAUGCCGCGUGUGUGAAGAAGGCCUUCGGGUUGUAAAGCACUUUCAGCGGGGAGGAAGGCGGUGAGGUUAAUAACCUCAUCGAUUGACGUUACCCGCAGAAGAAGCACCGGCUAACUCCGUGCCAGCAGCCGCGGUGAUACGGAGGGUGCAAGCGUUAAUCGGAAUUACUGGGCGUAAAGCGCACGCAGGCGGUCUGUCAAGUCGGAUGUGAAAUCCCCGGGCUCAACCUGGGAACUGCAUUCGAAACUGGCAGGCUAGAGUCUUGUAGAGGGGGGUAGAAUUCCAGGUGUAGCGGUGAAAUGCGUAGAGAUCUGGAGGAAUACCGGUGGCGAAGGCGGCCCCCUGGACAAAGACUGACGCUCAGGUGCGAAAGCGUGGGGAGCAAACAGGAUUAGAUACCCGUGUAGUC
rnacentral:rRNA from 1 species